GCACGGGAUUCCCCUGUUUGGAAAACCCUUAAAGAGUCCCAACAUUCAGUAGUCAGCCAGUCGCUCGACGUAGAAGGCAAUGAGACGGACGCGUGUGAACUCGGCUCCCGCGUUUGAGCCCGCAGUAAUUAAAGCCAUCCAUCAGAUCAUGACAGUGGUGCCGAGAAACAUCGCAUGGUGGGACCUGGAAUGUGAUCAGGGUUACCAUGGCAACAGCAAUAAAACGCACAGGUGGCGUUCACACAGCGGGAUUCCUCUCAGUUUCCUGGUGUGAUGUGAUUCACUGACAAACUAUGUGUGGAGUGUACCAACACACAGAACACAAAAGGUGGUAAUUGUUACAUUUCUUUCACUAUGAUUGUCUGUUGCAAACUUUCCCUCUGUUAUGCUCGUUGCUGUCCUUUUUUAUUUUAUUUUUUUUUGUAUCGUUCUGUAAUUUUGAGGAUACAUUAGAGCAAGUGCAUAAAGUUCUACAAAUGGUAAUUGUUGUGGCCACAGUACAGUUCUGGUUGGGUGAGGUUUGCCAUGAGCUGACAGGAAUGUAGUCAAGUAUUUCUAGGUUGUCUAAUACAUCAAACAAAGAUACAUUCAACAUACCAUUCUUUGUGUCUUCUUUCUAGAGACACUUUGUGUGACACGUAUUGUAGGCCUACUUAGGAUAGGACCAAACACUGUGACAUAUUUGAAAAUGUAGUUUGACCAAGGCACUUCAAAUAAAUGAUGUAACUAAUGACAGAAGAGGUUGAAAAUGUAACAGAACCUGAAUAUCAAAUUGAAGUGGUCAUUAAUAUUUCCACAGUGGCAUUCGAAUGAUGACAAAAGUUUUUUUUAUAUGGAAAUUAUGUUUAAAGCAUAUUUCCAGCAUUUUUAAGACAGACAGAAACCAAGCCACAGACCAGCGACAAGGAAAACCCUCUCAGGUUGCAUUUGGGCGCAUAAUGUAAUUUUGUUUGAGUGAUCACCAUGCAUGACAAUGCUCAAAACACAAAAAAAAAUUUAAACAUUUUUAUUUCUCCACAAAUACUGAUGCGGAGUAUAAUUAAUUUUCAGGAAUGUAAGUGGUUUUGAAAAAGCCUGUAGUUGUUUGAGGACAAUAGGAUUUAGUUUGGACUUAUUAUUAUUUAUUUUUACAAAACCAGAUGAGAAGACACCAGUGGUGAGGGACAUGUUGAUAACUGCUGCUGAUAUAAAACACGUCUGUCAAAAUGUUGGGAGGACAUUUUCUGUGGGAAUGGUGGAGGGUUUGAGUGAGGGGGAAAAUUUCACAUAAAUCUCUUCUUUGCAAGAGUAGGUUAGAAGGCAGACACAUGCACAGUAAUUGAUCACAUGUUAUCUUAAGAGAGAUGUGGUUUGUUGUCCGUCUGUGUUUUUUUCUUUUGGAUAAUUAAAUGACCCCACCAGCUCUUUGGCUUAUUACAGCUCAUCUACCACAAAGCAUGCAUAGGGAACUUACUGUAACUUGCUGACCACCAAAAAACCAUCACCAUUGCUAUACAGUCACCUAUGUUGCAGAGGCAGUCAACUAACAGCAGCUCUUAUAAGAAUAGUAGGUACAGCACAGACAAUGUUUUGUCAAAGUUGUAGACCAUUCCCUUAAAUAAUUUUUGUCCAACAUUGUCUGUAUCCUUUAGACAUUGUCGUAGAAAAUGCAACAUGUUCUCAUUUAUUGCUGUAAUUUGCUUCAAUAAAUAUCCAAUCAUUAUUACCAA